GAUGAACGCUGGCGGCGUGCUUAACACAUGCAAGUCGAACGGUGAAGCAGGAGCUUGCUCUUGUGGAUCAGUGGCGAACGGGUGAGUAACACGUGAGCAACCUGCCCCAGACUCUGGGAUAAGCGCUGGAAACGGCGUCUAAUACCGGAUACGCACCAGAACCGCAUGGUUACUGGUGGGAAAGAUUUUUUGGUCUGGGAUGGGCUCGCGGCCUAUCAGCUUGUUGGUGAGGUAAUGGCUCACCAAGGCGUCGACGGGUAGCCGGCCUGAGAGGGUGACCGGCCACACUGGGACUGAGACACGGCCCAGACUCCUACGGGAGGCAGCAGUGGGGAAUAUUGCACAAUGGGCGGAAGCCUGAUGCAGCAACGCCGCGUGAGGGAUGACGGCCUUCGGGUUGUAAACCUCUUUUAGCAGGGAAGAAGCGAGAGUGACGGUACCUGCAGAAAAAGCGCCGGCUAACUACGUGCCAGCCGCCGCGGUAA
rnacentral:rRNA from 1 species